UACGUAGGGUGCAAGCGUUGUCCGGAAUUAUUGGGCGUAAAGAGCUCGUAGGUGGUUUGUCGCGUUGUCCGUGAAAACUCACAACUCAAUUGUGGGCGUGCGGGCGAUACGGGCAGACUGGAGUACUGCAGGGGAGACUGGAAUUCCUGGUGUAGCGGUGGAAUGCGUAGAUAUCUGGAGGAACACCGGUGGCGAAGGCGGCAUCCUGGACCGACACUGACGCUGAGGAGCGAAAGCCAGGGGAGCAAACGGG
rnacentral:rRNA from 1 species